rnacentral:rRNA from 1 species
UACGGAAGGGGGCUAGCGUUAGCUCGGGAAUCACUGGGGCGUAAAGCGGCACGUAGGCGGCUUUCUAAGUCAGGGGUGAAAAUCCUGGGAGCUCAACUCCAGAACUGCCUUUGAUACUGGAGUGCUUGAGUCCGGGAGAGGUGAGUGGAACUCCGAGUGUAGAGGUGAAAUUCGAUAGAUAUUCGGAAGAACACCAGUGG